rnacentral:rRNA from 1 species
AGCAGCCGCGGUAAUUCCAGCUCCAAUAGCGUAUAUUAAAGUUGUUGCAGUUAAAAAGCUCGUAGUUGAAUUUCGGGGUUAGUAGGUUGGUCAUGCCAUCGGUAUGUACUGGUCUCACUGAUUCCUCCUUCCUGAUGAACCGUAAUGCCAUUAAUUUGGUGUUGCGGGGAGACUGGACUGUUACUUUGAAAAAUUAGAGUGUUUAAAGCAGGCUAACGCUUGAAUACAUUAGCAUGGAAUAAUGAAAUAGGACGUUCGAUCCUAUUUUGUUGGUUUCUAGGAUUGACGUAAUGAUUAAUAGGGAUAGUUGGGGGCAUUAGUAUUCAAUUGUCAGAGGUGAAAUUCUUGGAUUUAUUGAAGACUAACUACUGCGAAAGCAUUUGCCAAGGAUGUUUUCAUUAAUCAAGAAAGAAAGUUAGGGGGAUCGAAGACGAUCAGAUACCGUCGUAGUCUUAACCAUAAACUAUGCCGACUGGGGAUCGGAUGAUGUUAAUUUUUUAAUGACUCAUUCGGCGCCUUA